CGGGAACUAGAGGACAAGGGGGAGUGAUUCAUAAUUCCCAAGGGGACUAGAUUAUUGGAUUUAUAGGUUGGACUCCCAAUGUUACCCCUUUACAUUCUGAAAUCAAAGUCCUUCAGUGAGAUCUUACUAUAGCUAAGACUCACAAGCUCAAACCCCUACAAAUAUGCUAUGAUUCAAUAGAACUAGUGCAAGCAAUUAAACAUAACCAUGUAUUAUAUACACUAACCUUUUGUCAGAGUACAUGCAUCUAAUACAGGAACUAGGAAGCAGCCAAGGUGAAGUACAUCAAUGUAACACCUCAAAACCUGGUCC
rnacentral:lncRNA from 1 species